GCAGUUCUGAGGACCACACCGUCAAGGCCCAGGUUUGAAAUAUCUGCCUAAGAUGGACAAUCAGAAGAAAUGUUAUGAGCAGAAAUAUCGUUCCUCUGUUGGAAAGUCAAGAAGUUCAAGGAAACGAUGAGCACCUGAACUAGGUCCUGUUUCUUUCUGCUAUGAGACUGUUCUCAGAUAUGGUAUUUGAAGAAAUCAUGAGACUAUGUCCUUCAUCUCCACUCAAAGGCUGAGCAGUUGUUCUUCUGUUAAAACUUGUAACAGAAGUCAGAAAAUUAGACUAUCUUACAAAAGAAACUGUGGUGAUAGUCACUCUGCUCAGACAUGAUUUCCUACUUAAUAAGACCACAGAGAAACACGAUAUAAGUUUUUGUUAAUAUGCAGCUUUUGAGCUCAGAACCACCGGCCACACCAGUACAAAGGAUGAGCGAGAAAAGAGCGUGGACAUGCUAAGGAGACAGAAACACAAAGAAGAUGUGGAUUCAGGAAGCAAUGGGCACUCAUUUCAGCAAA